rnacentral:rRNA from 1 species
AAGUCGAGGGGUAUAGUUCUUCGGAACUAGAGACCGGCGCACGGGUGCGUAACGCGUAUGCAAUCUACCUUUUACAGAGGGAUAGCCCAGAGAAAUUUGGAUUAAUACCUCAUAGUAUAGCUGUACCGCAUGGUACUACUAUUAAAGUCACAACGGUAAAAGAUGAGCAUGCGUCCCAUUAGCUUGUUGGUAAGGUAACGGCUUACCAAGGCAACGAUGGGUAGGGGUCCUGAGAGGGAGAUCCCCCACACUGGUACUGAGACACGGACCAGACUCCUACGGGAGGCAGCAGUGAGGAAUAUUGGUCAAUGGGCGCAAGCCUGAACCAGCCAUGCCGCGUGCAGGAUGACGGUCCUAUGGAUUGUAAACUGCUUUUAUACAGGAAGAAACACUCCCUCGUGAGGGAGCUUGACGGUACUGUAGGAAUAAGGAUCGGCUAACUCCGUGCCAGCAGCCGCGGUAAUACGGAGGAUCCAAGCGUUAUCCGGAAUCAUUGGGUUUAAAGGGUCCGUAGGCGGUCUAAUAAGUCAGUGGUGAAAUCCUUCCGCUUAACGGGAGAACGGCCAUUGAUACUGUUAGACUUGAAUUAUUAGGAAGUAACUAGAAUAUGUAGUGUAGCGGUGAAAUGCUUAGAGAUUACAUGGAAUACCAAUUGCGAAGGCAGGUUACUACUAAUGGAUUGACGCUGAUGGACGAAAGCGUGGGUAGCGAACAGGAUUAGAUACCCUGGUAGUCCACGCCGUAAACGAUGGAUACUAGCUGUUCGGAGCAAUCUGAGUGGCUAAGCGAAAGUGAUAAGUAUCCCACCUGGGGAGUACGUUCGCAAGAAUGAAACUC